rnacentral:rRNA from 1 species
UUUACUGAGAGUUUGAUCCUGGCUCAGGACGAACGCUGGCGGCGUGCCUAAUACAUGCAAGUCGUGCGGACCUUUU